rnacentral:rRNA from 1 species
GUCUACGGCCAUACCACCCUGAACAUGCCCGAUCUCAUCUGAUCUAGGAAGCUAAGCAAGGUCGGGCCUGGUUAGUACUUGGAUGGGAGGAAAUAAACCUAUGUGAUCA